rnacentral:rRNA from 1 species
AUUGAACGCUAGCGGUAUGCUUUACACAUGCAAGUCGAACGAGUGGCGGACGGGUGAGUAAUGUAUCGGAACGUGCCCAGUAGCGGGGGAUAACUACUCGACAGAGUGGCUAAUACCGCAUACUAUUGGAGCGGCCGAUAUGGGAUUAGCUAGUUGGUGGGGUAACGGCUCACCAAGGCAACGAUCCUUAGCGGGUGUGAGAGGACGACCAGCAACACGGGUACUGAGACACGGCCCAGACUCCUACGGGAGGCAGCAUGGGGGAAUUUUGGACAAUGGGGGAAACCCUGAUCCAGCCAUCCCGCGUGUAUGAGAAGGCCUUCGGGUUGUAAAGUACUUUUGGCAGAGAAGCGGUAUCGGCAGAAUAAGCACCGGCUAACUACGUGCCAGCCGCCGCGGUAAUAC